GGGACUUGUCGCUGAAUCAAAACUUGAGGGGUCCAAUCCCCUCUUCUGUUGGAUUUCUCGUCAAUCUCGUCAGACUGAGUCUGCAAAACUGUGGCUUCAACGGGAGUAUUCCUAGAGAAAUUGGCAGUCUUUCGGCCCUCUCGUUCCUAGCUUUGAACGGAAACUUUCUGAGCGGAAGGAUUCCCCCAACUAUUGGCCUGCUCCAGUCUCUCGAUUGGUGCGAUC